GGGUCAGUAGGUUGGUCGUGCCACCGGUACGUACUGGUCUCACUGAUUCCUCCUUCCUGAAGAACCGUAAUGCCAUUAAUUUGGUGUUGCGGGGAAACAGGACUGUUACUUUGAAAAAAUUAGAGUGUUUAAAGCAAGAUAACGCUUGAAUACAUUAGCAUGGAAUAAUGAAAUAGGACGAUCGAUCCUAUUUUGUUGGUUUCUAGGAUUGACGUA
rnacentral:rRNA from 1 species